UACAAUCACUGAAGUUAAGCAACAUCGAGCCUGGUUAGUACCUAGAUGGGCGACCGCUUGGGAAUAUCAAGUGUUGUAA